rnacentral:rRNA from 1 species
CUGCCUAGGUCGCGAAGCAAUUGGAAGUGGUUCCAAGAAAAGCCUCUAAGCUUCAGUCUAACGAGACCGUACCGCAAACCGACACAGGUGGGCGAGAUGAGUAUUCUAAGGCGCUUGAGAGAACUCGGGAGAAGGAACUCGGCAAAUUGGUACCGUAACUUCGGGAUAAGGUACGCCCUUGUAGCUUGACCGGCCUGCGCCAGAAGGGUGAGAGGGUUGCAAUAAACUGGUGGCUGCGACUGUUUAAUAAAAACACAGCACUCUGCAACACGAAAGUGGACGUAUAGGGUGUGACGCCUGCCCGGUGCCGGAAGAUUAAAUGAUGGGGUGCAAGCUCUUGAUUGAAGUCCCGGUAAACGGCGGCCGUAACAAUAACGGUCCUAAGGUAGCGAAAUUCCUUGUCGGGUAAGUUCCGACCUGCACGAAUGGCGUAACGAUGGCCACACUGUCUCCUCCCGAGACUCAGCGAAGUUGAAGUGUUUGUGAUGAUGCAAUCUACCCGCGGCUAGACGGAAAGACCCCAUGAACCUUUACUGUAGCUUUGCAUUGGACUGUGAACCGAUCUGUGUAGGAUAGGUGGGAGGCUAUGAAAGCGGAACGCUAGUUUCGCUGGAGCCGUCCUUGAAAUACCACCCUGGUUUGUUUGCGGUUCUAACCUUGGCCCGUGAUCCGGGUCGGGGACAGUGCAUGGUAGGCAGUUUGACUGGGGCGGUCUCCUCCCAAAGUGUAACGGAGGAGUACGAAGGUACGCUAGGUACGGUCGGAAAUCGUGCUGAUAGUGCAAUGGCAUAAGCGUGCUUAACUGCGAGACCGACAAGUCGAGCAGGUGCGAAAGCAGGUCAUAGUGAUCCGGUGGUUCUGUAUGGAAGGGCCAUCGCUCAACGGAUAAAAGGUACUCUGGGGAUAACAGGCUGAUACCGCCCAAGAGUUCAUAUCGACGGCGGUGUUUGGCACCUCGAUGUCGGCUCAUCUCAUCCUGGGGCUGUAGCCGGUCCCAAGGGUAUGGCUGUUCGCCAUUUAAAGAGGUACGUGAGCUGGGUUUAAAACGUCGUGAGACAGUUUGGUCCCUAUCUGCCGUGGGCGUUGGAUAUUUGAAGGGGGCUGCUCCUAGUACGAGAGGACCGGAGUGGACGAACCUCUGGUGUACCGGUUGUCACGCCAGUGGCAUCGCCGGGUAGCUAUGUUCGGAAGAGAUAACCGCUGAAAGCAUCUAAGCGGGAAACUCGCCUUAAGAUGAGAUAUCCCCG